rnacentral:rRNA from 1 species
GGAAUCUUGCACAAUGGGCGAAAGCCUGAUGCAGCAACGCCGCGUGAGCGAUGAAGGCCCUUGGGUCGUAAAGCUCUGUCCUAUGGGAAGAAACAAAUGACGGUACCAUUGGAGGAAGCCCCGGCUAACUACGUGCCAGCAGCCGCGGUAAUACGUAGGGGGCAAGCGUUAUCCGGAAUCAUUGGGCGUAAAGAGUGCGUAGGUGGUUUCUUAAGCGUGGGGUUUAAGGCUACGGCUUAACCGUAGUUCGCCCCAUGAACUGGGAGACUUGAGUGCAGGAGGGGAAAGUGGAAUUCCUAGUGUAGCGGUGAAAUGCGUAGAUAUUAGGAGGAACACCAGUGGCGAAGGCGACUUUCUGGACUGUAACUGACACUGAGGCACGAAAGCGUGGGGAGCAAACA